GACGAACGCUGGCGGCGUGCUUAACACAUGCAAGUCGAACGAAGUGGCGAACGGGUGAGUAAUUCGAGGGUAACCUGCCCUCCUUUUUGGGCUAAGCCUUGGAAACUGGGUCUAAUACCGAAUAAAGGUGGAUGGGCUCGCGGCCUAUCAGCUUGUUGGUGGGGUGAUGGGCUAACAAGGCGGUGACAGGUAGCCGGCCUGCGAGGGUGACCGGCCACAUUGGGGCUGAGAUACGGCCCAGACUCCUACGGGAGGUAGCGGUGGGGGAUUUUGAAACAAGGGCGGAAGGCUGAUUCAAGGAAGCCGGGGGGGGGAUGAAGGCUUGGGGGUUGUAAGCCUCGUUCGCUAUCGAAAGGGUAGGUGGAGAAGAAGCGCCGGCUAACUACGUGCCAGCAGCCGCGGUAAUAC
rnacentral:rRNA from 1 species